rnacentral:rRNA from 1 species
UACGUAGGGACCAAGCGUUGUUCGGAUUUACUGGGCGUAAAGGGCGCGUAGGCGGCGUGGUAAGUCACUUGUGAAAUCUCUGAGCUUAACUCAGAACGGUCAAGUGAUACUGCUGUGCUAGAGUGCGGAAGGGGCAAUCGGAAUUCUUGGUGUAGCGGUGAAAUGCGUAGAUAUCAAGAGGAACACCUGAGGUGAAGACGGGUUGCUGGGCCGACACCGGACGCUGAUGCGCGAAAGCCAGGGGAGCAAACGGGG